CUUUUUUGGUUUUGUAUUAUAGAAAUUACAGCACCUUCUUACAGAGUUUUUAUAUAGUUUGUUUUUUGUUUUGUUUUGUUUUGUUUUUUUACCAUUUUGAUUCCUAUACACAGUAAUAAUGAUAACUUUUGCACAAUACACCAAUCCUAAAAGGCAGCUAUAAAAUGUUUACAGUUUCUAUAUUGUAAGAAGGAUCUGGAUUAUUUUAAUCAUCCCAGGCCAAACUUUCACAAAUUGUACUGAGCUGAAGUAUAUUUAUAUGACAGGUUUUGGGGGGAGGGGGAAGGGGAGGGGACCUGAGCGAGAAGGUGGGGAGCUGGGGGGGGAAUCUUGAUAUGAUUUUCAUUGGUUCUUCAUGUUUAAAAGUGAGAAAAGGGUUGGUGCCUUGUAAAUAUGUAGCAAAUCUUUGCUGUGGUGUGUCCUGAUGUGUGCAUUAACUUUAUUAAAAAAAAAAAAAAACAAUACUUGAGAAGUAUCAAAAUCUAGACAAAAGGUGCCAAAUGCAAAAGUUACUUGCAUCUAUUUUCUUUUUCUUAUAUUUUAAUGCAUUAGACAUUGUGUAGCUAAAGGUUAAAUGUCUGAAAAAUUCCUUCUCCGCACAGAGUGAGUUCUCUGAAUACAGUAGCUCAGCUACCUCUCAUAAACUACAACUACUGGAAACCUAAAAGAAAAUAGAUGCAGUUCUGCAUUACUAAGAAGAAAUUAGAAGUAGCCAAUCAUUAGAAAUGCUUUGCUCACAAAUGAUAAGCCAAAAGGUUGUCUUCGAUCCUCUUGGCUCUGACUUUAAUAGCAGUAAUUGUCAGAAUUCCACAAGCCUUGUGUACUCUACCUUAGCUUAUAUUAGAACCUGUCUGUGUAAUGGUGGUAAAUCUGAUGUUUACACUUGAAAUGUGGGCGGCUCGCUGUGUUAAAAUGUCAACCUUAAAAACUUUAGUCUCAACACUUUUUAAGUGUUUUAGGUCUCAAGACUGAGAUGUUUCAGACCCUCCUCUGGCUCACAAGAUUUUCUAGCUGAGCCACAAAGCCCUGAAAUUUUUGAUUUUUUUUUUUUUUUUUUGGCAGAAUAGCCUGCAGUCUUAACUGUAAUAUUUUAAGUGGUGCUUUACUAAAAUGUGUGGGGAGGGCAAAGGGUGG
rnacentral:lncRNA from 1 species